rnacentral:rRNA from 1 species
CGUUAAAGGGGGUGAAAAGCCCCCUCGCCGUAAGCGCAAGGUUUUCUACGCAACGUUCAUCGGCGUAGAGUGAGUCGGCCCCUAAGGCGAGGCAGAGAUGCGUAGCUGAUGGGAAACAGGUCAAUAUUCCUGUACCGAUGUGUAGUGCGAUGUGGGGACGGAUCUUAAUAGGUCAUCCGGGUGUUGGAUAUCCCGGUUUAGUUGGAAGUAGGCGUGCGUUAGGCAAAUCCGGCGCACAUAUACCGAGGCCAACGAUCGAGCCAGCUUGCUGGUGAAGUGACUGAACGAGGUUCUAGGAAAAGCCACUAAGCUUCAGCUGCACACGACCGUACCGCAAACCGACACUGGUGCGCGGGAUGAGUAUUCUAAGGCGCUUGAGAGAACUCAGGAGAAGGAACUCGGCAAAUUGACACCGUAACUUCGGAAGAAGGUGUGCCCUAUUAGUGUGAAGUGAACAACGGAGCAUGAAUGGGUUGCAAAAAAUCGGUGGCUGCGACUGUUUAUUAAAAACACAGCACUCUGCAAACACGAAAGUGGACGUAUAGGGUGUGACGCCUGCCCGGUGCUGGAAGAUUAAAUGAUGGGGUGCAAGCUCUUGAUUGAAGUCCCAGUAAACGGCGGCCGUAACGAUAACGGUCCUAAGGUAGCGAAAUUCCUUGUCGGGUAAGUUCCGACCUGCACGAAUGGCGUAACGAUGGCCACACUGUCUCCUCCUGAGACUCAGCGAAGUUGAAAUGUUUGUGAUGAUGCAAUCUCCCCGCGGAAAGACGGAAAGACCCCAUGAACCUUUACUGUAGCUUUGUAUUGGACUUUGAACAGAUCUGUGUAGGAUAGGUGGGAGGCUUUGAAGUGCGGUCGCUAGAUCGCAUGGAGCCAACGUUGAAAUACCACCCUGGUGUGUUUGAGGUUCUAACCUAGGUCCAUUAUCUGGAUCGGGGACAGUGCAUGGUAGGCAGUUUGACUGGGGCGGUCUCCUCCCAAAGCGUAACGGAGGAGUUCGAAGGUACGCUAGUUACGGUCGGACAUCGUGACGAUAGUGCAAUGGCAUAAGCGUGCUUAACUGCGAGACUGACAAGUCGAGCAGAUGCGAAAGCAGGACAUAGUGAUCCGGUGGUUCUGUAUGGAAGGGCCAUCGCUCAACGGAUAAAAGGUACUCUGGGGAUAACAGGCUGAUACCGCCCAAGAGUUCAUAUCGACGGCGGUGUUUGGCACCUCGAUGUCGGCUCAUCUCAUCCUGGGGCUGUAGCCGGUCCCAAGGGUAUGGCUGUUCGCCAUUUAAAGAGGUACGUGAGCUGGGUUUAAAACGUCGUGAGACAGUUUGGUCCCUAUCUUCCGUGGGCGCUGCAGAUUUGAGGAAGCCUGCUCCUAGUACGAGAGGACCGGAGUGGACACACCUCUGGUGUAUCGGUUGUCACGCCAGUGGCAUUGCCGAGUAGCUAAGUGUGGAAGAGAUAACCGCUGAAAGCAUCUAAGCGGGAAACUCGUUUCAAGAUGAGAUCUGCCGGGGCCUCGAGCCCCCUAAAGAGUCGUUCUAGACCAGGACGUUGAUAGGUCGGGUGUGGAAGCGCAGUAAUGCGUUAAGCUAACCGAUACUAAUUGCUCGUGCGGCUUGACC